UUCAAUAGGGACUGCAAUUAUCUUUUUCUAUGAUUUUUUGCUAUUUUCUCUAAUUUUUCACUAUCAAAAACCAAAAGUCACCCUAAACCAAAAAUAUACAACGCUUCAAAAAUAACUGUUUCUUUUCCGACAGAUGCUUUACUCUCUAUGUUUCCUUUCCUCCCUCUAUCUCAGUAUUCAUCCUCCUUUAUCUUUCUAUUUUCCUAUUGUUCUUUUCGUUUGCCUUUGUUAAAAUUUUCUAUACUCUUUCUCCUCCCUCUUUUUUAUUCUACACUGCUUUUGCUUCACGUUUGUUGAUUUACUUUAGUUCCUCCACUAAUCUCUAAACUCUUUCCUCAUGGUCAGUUUCAAUUUGCGUUUUCCAGUUACUUUCACUUUAAUUUUUAAUUCCCCUCUGACUUUGAUUCACUCCUUUGUCACCAUAACAACUGCUUAUUUUGACGCCCAUGAAGUGUUCGAAAAUAUGCCCAAUACCUUGCCCACCGAUUCAGGAAAUACUGCAAAUUUACUCAACACUUGCCGCAUAACAACUGCUUAUGACGCCAUGAAGUAUUCGAAAAUAUGCCCUAUAGGUUGACCUUGCCCAUGGAUUCAUAAAAUGCUGCAAAUUUACUCAACAUUUGCUGGUUGAUAGAUGGUAGUUUAAACCAACAAAAGGCCGUGAAAAAUUUCAGUUUGGCCUUUCUCCAUUCGUAUUUGAGGUACGCUCCGGAGAUUCUUAACUUAUUUGCUUUUUGCGUAAGGGUGUAAAGAUUCUAAUAUAAAUAACUUUUUCAAAAUUGAUAACUGAGGGUGUGUACGAUAUGGAGUACAAGAAUUUUGCUUUACUGAUACUUUUAAUGGUAAAAGUGUUCGUCAACGAUGUCUAUAAAUGUUGAUUGUAGUUUACUGAUAUGGAGCUUAAACUAUAUUAGACUGUCAUUAUAGCCUCAAAUAUUGGUGUUAAAACUCAAAACAUUACGAACUGAUUUUCAAAAUAAGAUCGUCUUGACGUUGACACCGAAACACGUAACUUAGAAGGCUAAAGAAAAAAUAAAACUCAAGGUCAGAGAGCGUUAAUGGGAGGUUAUAAAAUUAAUACUACUCCAAAAUUGCCAAGAACCAAACAAAAUUAACAUAUUUUCCUAUAAAACCUUAUGAUACUGAACUUUUGGUUAAUGCCCUCCUCUGUUAUGCUAGGUUGAUGCCCUCCUCUGUUAUGCUGUAAUUUUGGUUAGCAAUAUAAGGACUACGCCUCCUAAUGGCGUAAAUUAUAUUAAAAAAAAUAAAAAACUUAUGAUACUGCCUAAAUCUAUUCUGCUCUACCAAAGUUCUUUCCUUAUUUUGAUUACAGCAAUUUGUUUCAAGAACACGCACUUGAACUAACUUAAAAUUUGUGAGAGAAUUUGCAAUAAGAAACAUCUAAAACUUCUAUCUAAUCACGACACAAUUUUAUGUGGCAUAAAUGAUUGCUUAAUUGCUAUACUAUAAAUUGGUCAUUAUUUAUCUCUAAUCAGUAGCACUUUUUUCAUGCCUUUUAGCUCAACUUGAUAAAGAUUGAUCAUAUAUAUGUGUAUAUAAUUUAUUUAUGGUUGAAUAAAAUUAAGGAGGAAGAAAACUAACUACCUUGUUAUCCAUAUUCAUGUAAAUACCAAAUUGGAAAAAAUAUGAAGGAAAAACAAACGAAGAUUAAGACUUACCAACAGUUGUAGCAGCGAUGAAGAGAGGAAUGAAGGUAGUGAAAAUACAAAAUCAAUAUCACAUAAAUAGUGCUAGAAAUAAGAGAGAAAGUAAAGCACAAAAGCCAGAGAAGAAGAUGCUCACAAAAAAACACAUAUAGGAGGCGACAUAUGCAGAAUUAAGUGCAAUUUGUCAUUUUUAAGGGUUAGGCAAGAGUUUUAAUUUAAUUGUGAUGACUGAUGACCAUUGGACAUAUUUAUGUCUAUAAAUAUUGAUUAUAGUUUACUGAUAAGGAGUUUAGAGUACGUUAGAUUUUCAUUGUAACCUCAGAUAUUAAUAUUGGAUAGAUCAUGUUACUUCUCAUUUUCAUUUGACUAUACAAAAUUCUUACUAUAUCAGUAUUAUUAACUUAAAAGCCUCAUUAACUUCGAUUGUUUCUUGGUGAUGUUUAAAUGAAUCUUCCGCUUAUUCAAUAUUCUUCUUAAAGUUUGAAUGUGUUAUGUUCAAUUUGUCAUUUUGUUAAUAGGUUGGAUUAUCUUCUUGCCUAAGUAUUUCGCACAUGACUAAGUCUGAAUGUAUCAUUGCUUUGGCUUAAGAUUUUGUUUCUGUCGCAAUUACAUUUGAUCUUUUGUUAGGUAAUUUAGCAAAUAGUAGUUCUUCCUUUUUCCCUGGCUAAGUUUCCUUUCACACAGUUUUUGACUUGUAUAAGCUUAUUUGCAUUGUAAUGACCUUCAGUUUCCAGAUUGUGUCCAUUAUUUCAUAAAAAACUUACAAAGGUUUACUGACAUAAAUUACAUCUCGAUAAAGGUAUGAAAAUAAUGUUAAAUCAUAUAUUUUCUUGGGUUUUAUAUAGCGGUUCCAUAUAAGUUAAAAUUUACAAUACUCUUUUCUAAUGAAAUACAGAAAAUCUACAUGCUUUGUAUAUGCUGUAUAAUUUUAAACUAGAAGGACACCAGACAUUUACAGGACUCUAUUGAGAAAUGAGGCUGGUAAUAUGAAGUGAUUAAGUUGCCGCUUUGAGGAAAGCUCUUCUCAACCUCAACGGGUUUCACUUUUCAGGACAAGGAUCUGUGAUGUAUCUUAAGAAUGGAUUGGUGGACUUUAAAACCUUCAGAUGGCAUCACUUGACAAUUAUGUGAAGUUCAUAGCAAAAAGUUUGGAAAAUGAAAUGUUGUGCCUAAAUAAGAUAUGGAGGGAGACUGUAUACUGGCGUGGACCUACAUAACGGCAAUGAGGAUCAUUGUAAGGCAGGGUACUUAGGACCAUAUUUUAAUAGGUUGCCUAGAAGUUGAAACAUUUGCACGCCCUCAUACAUAGGUUGUGUCAUGUAUGGUGCUUGAAGGACCAAAAUUGCACUCAUAGAUAUCAUUGAAAAA